GAUGAACGCUAGCGACAGGCCUAACACAUGCAAGUCGAAGGGCGGCAUGAAAUUAGCUUGCUGAUUUUGAUGGCGACCGGCGCCCGGGUGAGAAACACCUAUGCAACCUGCCUGUAAGCGGGGGAUGACCCGGAGAAAUUCGGACUAGUACCGAAUACUAUCAUCGAAUAGCAUGAUGUGAUGAUUAAAAAUUUAUUGCUUACAGAUAGGCAUGCGUAUGAUUCGCUAGUGGGGGGGGUAACGGCCCACCAAGGCGACGAUCAUUAGGGGUUCUGAGAGGAAGGUCCCCCACAUUGGAACUGAGACACGGUCCAAACUCCUACGGGAGGCAGCAGUGAGGAAUAUUGGUCAAUGGACGCAAGUCUGAACCAGCCAUGUCGCGUGAAGGAUGACUGUCCUAUGGAUUGUAAACUUCUUUUAUAUGGGGAUAAAGUGUGAGACUUGUCUCAUUUUGCAUGUACCAUAUGAAUAAGCAUCGGCUAACUUCGUGCCAGCCGCCGCCGUAAAAC
rnacentral:rRNA from 1 species